UCCAACGUAUCUGUGGAGAUGUAUUUCGACAAAAAGAAAAAUGUCUUGUUACUGUGAAGGCUUUAGAUUUGUCAAACAAUAAACUUUCAUUACAAAACUGUGAGAUGUUUAAUGGGCUAACCGAACUGGAAAAUCUCAACUUGGCUGGAAACAGUUUAAAAAAAAUUCCAACAGACUGUUUUAAAAGUUUGACCAAUUUGAAACACCUGUAAGCAUUUACUAUUUUGUAUUCUUAUAGCUUUGUUUUUCUAUCUUAAUUGUUCAAUUUUGGCAAUCUAUUGUUAAACUUGUCGAUCCCAUUGUGGUAUUGGUCCAGUGGCGCACCUAGGGACGUCGACUUGAAAUAUAGAUUGUUUUCAUAGGAAUCUGCUUCUUUUUAUCAGCUGUUAAAUGUUGUCAAAUUUGUGUUGAAUAAAGCUUGUAUUGUUCAUAUUUAAACUAGAAGGCUAUAUUUUUUAUUCAUUAUUUUAGAGAUUUGUCAAACAAUAAACUUUCAUUACAAAACUGUGAGAUGUUUAAUGGGCUAAUCGAACUGGAAAAUCUGUAGAUGUUUUAGAAGUACAUUACAUAAAGCCCCUUAUAGUUAUGGACUUAUUUUGAUUUUCGUUCAAGGAAAACUAUAUGUUGUUAU